rfam:Medicago truncatula strain A17 chromosome 4, whole genome shotgun sequence.
AUACUUUUCUCGGCCUUUUGGUUAAGAUUAAGUAUAAUAUAUGUUCUUAUCCGUUUAAUAUCUGAUAUGUGGACCAAGGGUUCACAUGGUAUUAAAUUAUUUUUGAGGGAAGAGGUCGUUGCAAUAACUUGCUACUCGACUUCUUGUAUGUCGUUUAUAUAUUGCACUAUUGCAUAGACUUCACGUAUACAAA